UACGAGAAGGAUUGAGAGCUCCACCACCCUACAAUGACAGCUUGAUUCAAUCAUGGGUGACAAUCAGACCAGCUUCUCCGUCACGCUGAUAUUUCUGAAUGAGAAUGAUAUAAACCAGGAUCUGAUUUCAACACAGAAUCAACAUCAGGAACUUACACUUAAAGUCCACAGAGAGUUGGAGGACAUCUCUUUCACCAUUAAUGAUGGUGAUGGGGUUUGUGUUUUUAAAUUCUCCAUCACAAGGGAGACCGAGUGUUGUCGUAUGGCCAGCCGUUCAUUCCUCAUAACGCUGGGUUGUUUCAGUAUUGUCCUCCGAUUCACCACUCAGUCAGAGUUUCAGAUGUUUCACACAAUGCUGAGCUUGUGGAACGACCCCAGGAGAAAUCAGUCUGUGUUUCACCAGCGGACAGAUGAUUCAUCUGCACUACAGUACUUCCAGUUCUAUGGCUGUCUGUCACAGCAGCAGAACAUGCUACAGGAUUAUCUCAGAAUUGCAACAUACCAAAAAGCCAUUUUGCUCAAUGAUGUUGACUUCAAAGAUAAAGUGGUUCUUGAUGUUGGCUGUGGAACAGGGAUAUUGUCUUUCUUUGCCGUUCAGGCAGGAGCUAAGAAAGUGUACGCGGUGGAGGCCAGUUCUGUAGCCAAAUAUGCUGAAAUUCUUGUGAAAAGCAAUAACAUGUCGGAUAGAAUCACAGUUCUGUCAGGGAAGAUUGAGGAGGUUUCCUGUCCAGAGAAAGUGGAUGUGAUCAUCUCAGAGCCCAUGGGCUACAUGCUUCUCAACGACAGGAUGUUAGAGAGCUAUCUACACGCCAAACACUGGUUAAAACCCACAGGAACGAUGUUCCCUACCAGCAGUGACAUCCAUCUGGCUCCAUUCAGUGAUGAACAGCUUUACAUGGAGCAUCACGCCCGCUCCAGCUUCUGGAAUCAGAGCUGUUUCUAUGGUAUGAACUUGAGUGGACUUCACUCUUCUGCUGUGGAUGAGUUCUUCAAACAGCCGAUAGUUGACACAUUUGAUAUUCAGAUUCUCAUGGCCAGGUCUGUGAAAUACAGUAUCAACUUUCUGGAGGCAAAAGAGGAAGAUUUACACUGGAUAGAAAUUCCCUUUGUGUUCAAAAUGCGGCAGUCCGGACUGAUUCAUGGACUUGUAUUCUGGUUUGAUGUGGCAUUUGUUGGCUCAAGAAUGACAGUAUGGCUGUCCACUGCACCUAAUGAACCUCUGACUCAUUGGUAUCAGGUGCGCUGUCUUCUGCAAACGCCCCUGUUUGCCAAAAAAGGACAGACAUUAUCUGGACAUGUCCAACUGAUAGCCAACAAGAGACAGAGCUAUGACAUUCACAUAAGCGCUGUGGUUGAUCAGUCUGGAUUUAAAUCUGGGAACACACUGGAUUUGAAAAAUCUUUUUUUCCGGGUGCCUGCUUGGCUGCAGAUGUAACAGGAAAAGGAAGUAAAGUGUAGUCAGAGCCACAAACACUGGAAACAAGACAUCCUUGGACUAUAGGCUUGGUAUGCCUGAAUCAUCGUUAUCAGCAUUAUUCAGAUCAACAAGACCUAAAUGAAGACUGCAGGACUAUCACUCACAAUUACAUAUGACACGUCAUAAAAAAUGACAUUAUUACUACAAGGAUUAUUUAGGAAGGGUCUGUGUGCUUGGAACAUUGCAAUUGCUUGUUAAUAAAAAAGUGAAUAGAGCAUAUUUUCUUCAAAUUAUUUAUUUGACGGUACCACUCAUUAAACUCUUUUUUUAAAUAACAGCCUGGAAACACUUUACAUUAUAUUCCUU